rnacentral:sRNA from 12 species
GUUACUCUGAUAGUCUCGUAGCAACCGUGCUGUAAUCAGCAGAAGAGUAUGUAAUCUAACUCAGCGGCUAAAGGAUUAC